CCUACGGGCGGCUGCAGUGGGGAAUAUUGGGCAAUGGAGGAAACUCUGAUGCAGCAACGCCGCGUGAGUGAUGAAGGUCUUCGGUUUGUAAAGCUCUUUUAUCAGGGAAGAAGAUAGUGACGGUAGAUUAGGAAUACGCCUCGGCUAACUACGCGCCAGCAGCCGCGGUAAUACGUAGGAGGCGAGCGUUAUCCGGAAUGACUGGGCGUAAAGGGUGCGUAGGUGGUUUGGCAAGUUAGUAGCGUAACUCCAAGGCUCAACCUUGGAACUGCUACUAAAACUGUUGGGCUUGAGUGCAGGAGAGGCAAGCGGAAUUCCUAGUGUAGCGGUGGAAUGCGUAGAUAUUAGGAGGAACACCAGUGGCGAAGGCGGGUUACUAGACUGUAACUGACGCUGAGGCACGAAAGCGUGGGGAGCAAACAGGAUUAGAUACCCGGGUAGUC
rnacentral:rRNA from 1 species